CAAGAUGUAGCUUAAUUAACUAAAGCAUCCAGCUUACACCCGGAAGA
rnacentral:tRNA from 1 species